GUUAGCUAACGAAGUUGAUGUUGAAGUAGAAAUAAGGCUAAUAAAUAGGAACGGAGUCGGGGAAUUAUAACUCUUAACAUGCUCCUGCGACUUUCUUUUCAUUUGGUAGGGCAUGCCAACGAGAUCUCAUGAGAGCUUUGAAUCAGUAAUUUCAGGCGAGGGAAUUCACCCCAAAGCGGAUUUUAUUCGCUCUGCUUCUCUUUAUUCUGUUGUUCUAGACAAAAAGAUGAGAGCUUUUCAAGGUAUGCAGUUAGACCCCUGGAUAAAAGAGAUCUAUCUAUUUUAGCCACCCUUUCCAUUACUGAUCUAGUUGCUCUUGCUAUCUAACCCGCCACUUUAUUAUAUGAUCUUUUAUUGACUUCAAAAAGUCAAUUUUUUUUCUUUUUCUCGGGCCGACUUCAUACAUUCUAUUACUUAUAGAAAUAGUCAUGCCAAUCUUCUCGGUAAAGAAGAACUCUUUCGCACGAUCUUAAGAGAGCCUAGUUCCACAAGAGCCUUAUCACGAGCCUUUACUUGAUGAAAGGCGCCCCAAACGAUCUUAGGAGAGCCUAGUUCCAUAAGAGCCUUAUCACGAGCCUUUACUUGAUAAAAGAUGCCUUGUUAGAUGCGCUAUAUCGACAAGGCAAGGAAAACGCAGCCUAAUGAGAAUAGCUCUAAAUCAAAGCAGCCCUCCAUCUCGCAUAUAGAUAUGGUUGACAAACAUACCUACUCAUGAUAUCGAAUAGGAAUGAUCAUUAUCAGGGUACACAGAUAUGCCAUGCUAGGAUGAGAUAGGCUUUCAACAGCAUAAGCCACCUCCCAAGCGGCUUCCCUCCAGUGCCUUUGACUAUUGCUACGGUCAUCAACCGCAGCAUUGAAUUGAGACUUUCCACCUUGCUUUGGACUUGAAUGGAUCUACUUCUCCUCUGCCAGAUCGAUCUCUUUGACUAUUGCUACGGUCAUCAACCGCAGCAUUGAAUUGAGACUUUCCACCUUGCUUUGUACUUGAAUGGAUCUACUUCUCCUAUUCCAGAUCGAUCUUCGUUAAGAGGGUCAACCCAAGCUAUUUCUCUACCUCCUCUCCUUAUGUUAUGGUAGAAUCCCUAUUGGAUUGCUUACUCCAGAAAAAAGAGAGAAAUCAACAAUAAUGCGCGCACGUGAAAAGGCUUACCCCGCAAGCUGACUCUUCCAAUCCAACUCUAUCGAAGGAGAAAAAACAUUGGACCUACAACUUGCUUAGUGCAGGGCUGCAUGUCGUGAUUAGUUGGACACUCUCUUCGUCUAAGGUCUUAGCUUGGUCUCUCUAUUAAGCUUUCCCAGCAAGUCUAUUAGAUGGGGUACAAAAGAUUGUUAUUCAAAGCAUCGUUAAGAGUUCUGUCUAGGGAGUAGUCAAGAUAAGAUGACUCUGAUCUUUUCUUCUAUGGAGCCGGAUGUGAGAUUAUCGCCUACAGAUCUUACUCAAAAAGAGUCAAUGGGAGUAGACACAUCAAUAGCAGCAGACACGGAGGAAGAAAUCCUUGAUCUUCGGGCUAAGAUGCUGACUUUGCCGUGAAAAGAGUAAUGAGAGGAAAGCCUUGACCUUCCCUUGUUCUACCCUUCGAACUCGGAGAUUGAAGAAGAUCACUCUAUGCAGCGACAGAGGCAAGAUCUCUAUAUGUUGAUAGAUACCCGAGAGACUGAACUCUAUGCAGCGACAGAGGCAGGAUCUCUAUAUGUUGAUAGAUACCCGAGAGACUGAGUCCUUGGGGGAGAGAGAAAGUAGGCAUUACUCCCAGAAAACGUGCAACCAAC
rnacentral:lncRNA from 1 species